CGGCGCGCAUGCGUAUUUCAGACGGAGUGCCGGGGAGGGGAGGCGCUCAGCGUUCGGGUAAUUAAGGUUGCAAAAUGGCGAGGGGGGAGGUAAGCUGUCUUUGCUUGGCCAUCUUGGGCUAGCAGGCCUUGCAGAGAACUACCUUUUUAGCUGAGUGAAGGGAUCAACCUGAGUUGGAGUUCUCCUAUGCUGUGGCCAGAUCCACUAGAAAUUAACCCAGAAUCUUAGCCUCUCACUGGCCUAUCGGUGAUGCCACACUCAAUCAGAAACUAUGCUACUGUUGAAGAGGCAUAUUGAGCUCUGCCUGGUUAACCUCCAGUGAGGUUGUUAGAGAAUUGGGAGAGGCUCAAAUCAGCAUCCUGCACCUAGUUAUCAAACAAUUGUGAAGUCUUGAUGCUUCCUGCCCAGCAAGUUCAUCAGAGGGCGAGGAUGAAUUACGGUUGCUAUGAAUGUCCUUGUGAGGCAGUUGGGAAGCCUUGGCUGGAUUGUGAAGGAUAUUUGAAAAGUAUUUUAGACUCCACCAGAUCAUCCAUGUGAGUGACCAUGCAGCAAAAGAAGGAGGGUCCUCUCAGUGAUUAAGGUAACAUAGUGAUUAAGGUAAGUAGGGAAAGAGAGGCUUACUUUGCCCUGAUUCUUGUCAGGGAGGUUCUUAGAAAUGCUAUUUCCAGAGCAUAAGUGAUAGGCCAGCACUUUCAAAGCCUGCAACUUAUUCUAUAAUAUAUCCUUGUUAAAACAAUUCAUGUAGAUUAUAUGGUUACCCAGUCUGGGAUCACUCCUGCAGAAGAUCAGAAGAACUGAAAUAUAGGUGACAUAAGCUCCUGCUUUUGUAAAUGUUUUGUUGAAACACAGUUGUGUUCAUUCAUUAUUGUCGGUGGCAGCUUUCAUGCUACAGCAGAGUUGAGUAGUUGGGAGAGAAACCAUAUGGACCAUAGAGUUUGAAAUAUUACUGUCUGGCCCUUCACAGAAAGUUUGCCGAUUCCUGGCAUAGGUUAAAUAAAUGUACUAUAUCCACAAAUCCUCCUCUCCCCAUUUUCCUUUCAAUUGGACUUGCAUUUACAGUUGAUCCUAGAAUGUAUGGAAUCUCAUAGUAAUCAGCUUGCUUCUGAAUUUCUUCCCAUUCAAAUUAAGCUCACUCAGAAAGCACAUUCACAAAUUGGGCUACAUAUACAGAAGGAGCUAUGUUUUAUAUGCCUCAUUGUAGUCAACUCAUUUAUCCUAUAUGUAUGGUUCCCCCAUGUUUUCCUUCUUUUCAGGGGUAACUUUUAAACUUGAGCCAUUCAUGAGUAUCCAAAAAGUUACAACUUAUGUUUUCUAAUUAAGACUUCAUCCUUAUUUUAGUAUACUUCCCCUCUCUGGCUUUUUUGCAUAUUUCUGCAGAUGUCUUGACCUUUCUGGGGAAUAAGCCCCCUUAGAAGAUUAAUUUUCUGUAGUUCUCUAUUGAGAAAUACAUGACAUUUAGCUUUUUAAUAAUUUGAUGCCAUUCAUUGAGUACCUACUGUGUGCUUUAUGUACCCUGUCUCGUUGAAUUUUUACAAAAAACUGAAAGAGUUAGUUUUGUGUUAUUACUACCUCCAUCUCAAAGAUGAGUCUUGGAAAGCUUAAGUAUCUUUAGGUCACAUUGUAAUCAGUGGCAGAACUGGGACUUAACAUAAUUCAUGACUGCAUUUUCUUUUCUUUCUUUCUUUCUCUCUCUUUUUUUUUUUUUUUUUUUGUAAAGAGAUAACGUCUCACUCACUGUGUUGCCCAGACUGGUCUUGAACUCUUGGGCUCAAGCAAUUCUUCCACCUCCGCCUCCCAAAGUGUUGGGAUUAUAGGCAUGAGCCCUCAUGCCUGCCCCUUGCAUUUUCUAUUUAAGUGGUCUUGAAGGUUUUUUUUUUUUUUCCUUUUUAAAUCUCGGAAUUUGGCCUUUAGUAAGCAUAGAAUAGCAAAGUGUAAUACCUGAGCUGGGGAAAAAAGUCCUUGAAUUCUUUAGGAAAGACUUAAUUGAUGGGUACAAAGUGAAAUGCUCACUGGAAUCGGGAAUCAGAAACCAGUUCUGAUCACCUAUCCCUACAUAUCCUUCUUCACUCUGCCCUGGCAUAUCAUGGUUGAUGUACAUAGCAAUGAUCAUCCCUUCUAUAAUCCCACUUAACAAUUUAGAAGUGGAUUGGUAAUACUCUUCUGGCUUAAAAUCCUUCUUCUCUGGGCAGGUGUGGUGGCUCCUGCAUUAUCCCAGCACUUUGGGAGGCCGAGGUGGGAGGAUUGUGUGAGCCCAGGAGUUUGAGACCAGCCUGGGUAACAUAGCAAGACCCUGUCUCUACAAAAAAAUAAAAAAUUAGCUGGGCAUGGUGGUGCUCAUGCCUGUAAUCCCAGCACUUGGGGAGGCUGAGGCGGGUGGAUCACGAGGUCAAGAGAUCGAGACUAUCCUGGCCAGCAUGGUGAAACCCCGUCUGUACUAAAAAUACAAAAAUUAGCCGGGCGUGAUAGCAGGUGCCUGUAGUUCCAGCUAUGGGAGGCUGAGGCAGGAGAAUCACAUGAACCUGGGAGAUGGAGUUUGCAGUGAGCUGAGAUCACGCCACUGCACUCCAGCCUGGUGACAGAGUGAGACUCCACCUCAAAAAAAAAGAGAAACGAUCACAUCCAGAUGUCCUGUUACUGGAAGGGCACCAUAGUUUAUCCUGCACCUGACACUAAUAUACCUACUCUGGGAAUUCUUCUACCUGCAACUAUUUAUUUAUCUGAUCCCAUCCGGUAUUAAAGUUCUAAAAGUUAACAGAAUUCUUAAAGGUUCCCAAUCCCUCCCAGAAACCCCAUCAUCUCAAAAUCACUAGCUAUUAAAAGAAGCAAAAAAAAAAAAAAGGUGGCUCCUGACCUAGUCUCUUUGCGUAUGAAGACCUAUUCACUAUAUAAAGCUGUUACCUGCCUUGAAAAGAUUAAGACAGCAAGAAAGUUCUUAGAAAGUGGGUAUGUGGCUGGCCUCAGAUAAGGAGAAAUUGCUGAGAAGAAGAAGUUGGGUUUUUUUGGGGUUUUUUGUUUCUUGUUUUUGAGACAGGGUCUUGCUCUAUCUCCCAGGCUGGAGUGCAAUGGUGCAAUCACAGCUCACUGCAGCCUCAACCUCCCAGACUCAAAUAAUCCUCUCUCCUCAGCCUCCCAAGUAGCUAGGACUACAGGAUGCACCACCUUGCCCAUUGUUUCUAUAGCAAGGUCUUAUAAUAUGGCAGACACAAUGGCCUCCCACAGAGAAAUGAGCCAUAAAAGGGCCCUGUAAAAGCAAGGAUGGCUCACUGUUUUAAGACAGCCAAAUGUAUGGCACUUGGAGAAUUUCAAAGAGUAGAAGGCCUUCUUGAUUGCACUCCCCUUUAACAGCCUUGCCUCUUAUGGGGCUAUGUGGAGCGUUGAAAUGGUUCACAAGUAAAGUGAAAAAUGGUUAUGCAUAGUGUGUCAGCCCCACCCUAAGCUCCCAGAGCCUCCAUUCUGAGUACAAAGGUCAGUUUUCUUCUCGGGACAGGCCAAGGAUGAUGGGGUUUUAAUUUCUCUACUGAUCCAUGGCAAAGCAUUCCUAAACUAGGCACUGGAAGUCUUGGUAACUGGAAAGAGACAUUCACCAAGAUGAGGAAGGCCAAAGCCAAGUGCCUUAUAUAGUCCCUAGAAAGCAUUUCAUUUUAUGGAACAAUCUUUGGUCUCUCUUUUUUUUUUUUUUGUGAGACAGUGACUCAGGCUGGAGUGCAGUGAUAAGGUCACUGCUCAUUGCAGCCUCAACUUCCCGUGCUCAGGUGAUCCUUUCACCUCAACUUCCCGAGUAGUUGGGACUAUAAGCAAGCGCCACCAUGCCCAGCUAAUUUUUUGUAAUUUUUGUAGAGACGGGGUUUUCCCACGUUGCCCAGGCUGGUCUCAAACUUCUGGACUCAAGCAAUCCACCUGCCUUCGCCUCCCAAAGUGCUGGGAUUACAGGUGUAAGCUACCAUGCCCAGCUCUGGUCUCCUUUCUUAAUCCUGUUGAAUAAGCAAGAUUUUUUUUUAUCUGAACCCUCCUCUUACUCUUCUUUCUGUUCUCCUUCCAUGAUCACUUUGUCCAUCUUCCUCUUUGUCAUAGGCAUGUCCUGUUUCUAAUUCCCUUUCUCUUUUCUUUGGUAGGCUAGCCUUCGAGACUGCAUCAUACUCCCCAACUUAAAAUCUUUUGAUAACCCAGGCAGCUGGGUUAUCCCCAAUUUAAAGUCUUUUUGUUGUAGCUGUAUGGCAUUUAUCUAGGGCAUGGGGUACGCACAGUAGGUUUCUCUCCUCUCUUUUUUAACAUAUUUAUUAUGUUUAUGCAUGUAAAGAGUUUGUUGUUGGCCAGGCCUGGUGGCUCACGCCUGUAAUCCCAGCACUUUGGGAGGCUGAGGUGGGAGGUCAGGAGUUCGAGAGCAGCCUGGCCAACAUGAUGAAACCCUGUCUCUACUAAAAAUACAAAGAUUAGUGGAACAGGGUGGCUCAUGCCUGUAAUUGCAGCUACUCAGGAGGCUGAAGCAGGAGAAUCACUUGAGCCUGGGAGCUGAGAUCAUGCCAUUGCACUCCAGUCUGGGUGACAGAGGGAAACUGUUUCAAAAUCAACAACAACAACAAAAAGUUUAAAAAUUGGAAACCACCAAAAGGUAGUAUUAAAAGGGAAAUAAAAAUUACUCAUAAUCCCAGAACACAGUCAUAUGCUAUUUUUAGUCUUAUUUUAUUUAGCCAUUUUUCUCUUUACACAAACUUUUUUUUUUUUUUUUGAGAUGGAGUCUUACUCUGUUGCCUGAGCUGGAGUGCAGUGGUGCGAUCUCGGCUCACUGCAACCUCCGCCUCCUGGGUUCAAGUGAUUCUCCUGCCUCAGCCUCCUGAGUAGCUGGGGCUACAGGCGACCGCCAUUACACUCAGCUAAUUUUUUGUAUUUUUAGUAGAGACGGGGUUUCACCACGUUCACCAGGCUGGUCUCGAACUCCUGACCUCAUGAUUCGCCCACCUCGGCCUCCCAAAGUGGUGGGAUUACAAGCGUGAGCCACUAUGCCCUCCCUACAGGUUUUAAAAUUUAUUAUUAUCUAAAUAUUCAUUUUAAAUAUUAAUUUUAGUGUACUUCUUUGAUUUUCUUUAGAGAAAUUUCUGAUUUCAGAACCAAGUUUAUUAGCAUUCACUGUGUACAUUAGCACCAUUAAAACUAGCUAGACCCAAGAAGCAGUAUUGAAUGGGUAUCCCUUCUUUACUUUCCUCUGAUUCACUCUACUCUGGCGCUCACAGCUAAGUAAGUAUGUACAGCAAUGGCCUAUCAUUUGGUCGAUUAUCUUUUGUGCUCUGAAAUGUCUUUGUUUUAUCAUCUGCUCUCAAUACCUCUAUGCUCUGACCCUUUGUAUAUAAGGGUAACCGUAUUUGUUCUUUCCUGCGAAAUAAUAAUUCUUUUCCUUCCAUUCAGAGUAGCUGCCUGACUCAUACAAUGAGUAAAGUCACAUAGACUCAAAAGAGUAGAGAUGGAGGUUGGAUGUGGUGGCUCAUGCCUGUAAUCCCAACACUUUGAGAGGCUGAGGUGGGAGGAUCGCUUGAGCUUGAGCACAGGAGUUUGAGGUCAGUCUGGGCAAUGUAGCGAGACCUCAUCUCUGCCAAAAAAUAAAAAUUAGCUGGGUGUGGUGGUGCAUGGCUGUAGUCCCAUGUAGUCCCAGCUACUUGGGAGGCUGAGGCGGGAGGUCACACAUACUUUUUGUUGUUACUGCUUCAUCAUUGGUUCUGAUCACUCAGUGUUCUUUCCCUUACACCAGAUCAUAAUACAGUAUUCUGACUUGGCAACUUAGCUCAGUUUAUUACGAAUAGUCUUUAAUUAAUUUGGUAAAUUACUAUGAAUGAACAUUUCAUUCAUUCUGCUAGGUCUAGGUUUUGCCAGCUGUUCCAUUAAGGGACACUCUAUGGCACGUGUUGGCAAACUUUUUCUGUAAAGGGCUAGGUAGUCUCUCUAUUCAACUCUGCUGUUGUAGCAUGAAAACAUCCAUAGACAAUAUGGAUACAAAUGAGCAUGAUUAUGUUCUGAUAAAACUUGAUUUACAAAAACAGGUAAUAGGUUGGAUUUGGACCAGGGGCCAUAGCAUGCUGACCCCUGCUUUACAGUAUACAUACACAAAGACUUUCAAACAAAGAUGUAUACAAUAAAACAACCAUUCAUAGUUAUUUGAUUCACAGUGUGUAUAAUAUAAUAAAAAUAAUACAGCUGUAUUUGAGUCAGCACUGAAAAGUCUCUUGUGAUCUGUGUGUUACGUGCAUGAAUUGCAGAAUAUUCAUACAAAUACCAUGAAUAUUCUUCAUGGGCCAUGUUAUUACCAUCCCUUAGAGGAAUCUCUUCCUUGUCAUGGGUCUUUCUUUGUCUGGCUUAGAAGUGAUGUUGUCUUUAUAUUGUGUUAUUAGUUCUUAACUUUACAUUAUCAGCUCUGGUGUGCUUACCUUUUUCACCAAUGUGUCUUCUACCCUACUUACCUCAUAAGUGAAUCUAAUACAGAGGUUAUUUUGGAUAUAAUCAUUAUCUUAACAGGUAAGAUAGUGCUAUUUCAAACCCUAAAUUUGGCUUUCAGGAUUAUGAAGUAUUAAUUCUUCCACUGAUAUCUCAAAAGGUGAUCUGGACAAAGGAACAGGUAUCUCAGAUGGAGGUCUUGCUCUGUCGCCCAGGCUGGAGUGUAGUGGUGCAAUCUCAGGUCACUGCAGUCUCUGCCUCCUGGAUUCAAGCAAUUCUCCAGCCUCAGCCUCCCGAGUGGCUGGGAUUACAGGUGUGCAUCACCAUGCCCAGCUAAUUUUUUGUAUUUUUUUUGGUAGAGACAGGGUUUCACCAUGCUGGCGAGGCUAGUCUUGAACUCCUGACCUCGUGAUCUGCCCACCUUGGCCUCCCAAAGUGUUGGGAUUACAGGCAUGAGCCACCACGCCUGGCCAGAUUCAUAGUUUUCAAGAAUUUUGAAUUAUAUUUGCUAAAUUUGAUAUUUCAAAUUUUAUUUUCUAUUUUAUUUAUUAUUUUUUUCCUUUAUUUAUUUAUUUAUUUAUUUUGAGACAGGGUCUCACUCUGUUGUCCAGGCUGGAGUGUGGUGGUGCUAUCAUGGUGCACUGCAGGCUUGACCUCCCAGGCUCAAGGGAUCCUCCUACCUCUCAGCCUCCUGAGUAGCUGGGACUAUAGGUGUGCACCACCACACCCAGAUAAUUUUUGUAUUUUUCGUAGAGACGGGGUUUCUCCAUGUUGCCUAAGCUGGUCUCAAACUCCUGGGCUGAAGCUAUUUGCCCACCUUAGCCUUCCAAAGUUUUGGGAUUACAGGGUGAGCUACCACGCCCGGCCUUUUUCUGUGUUCAAAAGUGAGUUGUUUUGCGGGGGAUGGCAGUCUUUUUCAAUUGUUGAUGUUAGGGUCAUUAAUGAAAUCUUUUGUUGCCUAUUGUUUUAAACUGAACCAAUCUCAAAUAUAUCCCAUGCCAUUAAAUAUACUUUAAUAACAUCUUUUAAAAAUUGGCACAUAAUACACCACUGCAUGAAUGUAAAAAUUUAACUUGUAUCUGAUAUUUGGAAUCUUGUUUUAAUUACUGCUCUUUUAAUUGUGUGUAAAUAGUGCUACAGUGAAUAUCUCUAUAGAUAAAUUUUUGUACAUAUGUGUGUUUAUUUCCUGAGGUUGGAUACAAUAUGUGGUCCUUCUAUUAGUGUAUAAGAAUGCCCGUUUUUUGUUUUUUUUUUAACUUUUUCACCAGUACACUAUGUUAAGGUUUCAGAAGAAUUUGCCAAUUGUAAAGGUAAAAAAUGGCCUUUGAUAUUUUAAUUUGUAUUUCUUUGAUUCCUAACAAGAUAGAACAGAUAAAAAUCUUGGGUCUUAUUUUUGAGUUUAUUUUUCACACUUAGUUUUAGUCUAUCAUAUGUUGCAGAUAUUUCCCCCAGUUUGGCCUAUAAAUUAUUAAUUUGUAUGUAGCUCAAAUAUGUUUUUCUUUAUGGUUUGUUCUCCACUUGCAUUUUAUAAUAGGAAGAUAAAUAUAUUUUUUAUAGUUCAUAAUUCCUUUAUACUUUUUAUUAUUAUUUUUUUAAAUACAAAUCUUUCCCAUUGGGAACCUCUUUCGUGUGUGGUAUGUAACUAAUUUUUCUAAAUGUUCAGCACAUUCAGGGUUUGGGGGGUUGUAGUAAGGGUACUUGUGGAGCUCUCAACAGCAGGACUUUAAAAAUCUUUUCUCCAGUGCUCUGCUUUUAACAUGACUUAAAUAUUCUCUCAGCCUGUUUCAGUUUUCCUGCCAUUGGCUUAUGCUAUCUUCUAGAGGGGAGUUAGCAAACUUUUUCUAUAAAAAGCCCAAUGGUAAAUAUUUUAGGUUUUGUGGGCCAUAUGGUUUCUGCUCUUGUAGCAUGAAAGCAGUCAUAGACAAUACAUAAAUGAAUGAAUAUGGCUGUGUUCCAACAAAACUAGUUACAGAAAAAGGUAGUGGGCUGGAUUUGGUUUGUUGGUGGUAGUUUGCCAAUACCUGCUUUAUGAUACUGUACUCUUACAACUUCUGCUCACCUAGUUUCUGCUUCAUCAUAGUGGGCUUUCUCAUAGUUAUGCCUCUGAUUUUCCCUUGUAACUUCUUAGAAUACCUUUUUCACCUCUGGUCUUUGCUACUGAUUACCUGUUUCCAUAUUUCACAAUUUUAAGUUUCCGAGAGCACAGGCGGUAGCUAAAUUAGAUGCUUUGCAUGUUACCACUAUUAUGUACUUUGCUUGGCUGUCUACACUGUUGCUUCAAUAUAACCAGUUCCAAAUAACUGCAUUCCUUUUGAGGGUCUCUUCCUUGCAAUCCAGAUUUCAUUGCAAGAAAUGGGGUGAUUUGGAUCAUUUUAAGGAAGUUUAUGGAAUUCGACUCUAAUGUGAUAUCAUUAAUGUGAUUAAGCUCUUCUCUCCUUCUUGUGCACAUCAUGUUGGUCCUACUACAGUUUGGUUUCCUCAUACUCUGUCUUCCUCUAACCUCCUGGUUACUGAAUACUUAGAUUUUUUUUCUCAUUCAUAACUUGAGCUUUUGCAACUACUAUAGGUGUGACCUUCCUUCUACAUUAUCUUUCUCUCUACAGACUAUCGACUUUAGCUCUUGCUACUCUCCAUGUUGCCAAGUUGUCAUUAAACUAAGAAUCUGAUUCCCUGUGGGUUGUUAAGUUUCCUGAGACUGCAGGGAUAGUAGCUGCUAUUUGGCAGGUCUAGGACAUUUCCCCCUACUGAUUACUAUGUGCAAAUGUAUCUCUUUCCCUAUUUAUAAUACAAAAUUGCUUUAGCCUAACACAAUCCAGCUACUAUAAGUGUAUCCAGAAUCAAGCUCUAAAAGUAGAUCGCAACCCAGUCAUGUAGCAUCCAGAAGUACCUGAACCAUCUUUGGAACUUGACAGUUUCACAGUUAACUUUGCAACCUUACUCUCCUUAUAUCCUGAUGCUAUUUUAUAUGCCUGUUAGGUUGUAUCAGAUCUACAUUCUGAUCUAUAGUUUGGAGAUUAUAAUUUUCUAAGCAACCCUUUGUGAGGUCACAAAUACUUUUUGUUUGUUACUGGUUUAUAGGCAUUAUUGGUUCUCAUCACUCAGUAUUCUUUCCCUUUUCCCUUACACCAGAUCAUAAUAUAGUAUUCUCUCUCUUUUUUUUUUUUUUGUUUUUUUUUUGGAAACAGGGUCUUGUUCUGUUGCCCAGGCUGGAGUGCCGUAGUGCAAUCUUGGCUCACUGCAACCUCCGCCUCCCGGCUCAAGCGAUUCUCUCACCUCAGCCUCCCAAGUAGCUGGGAAUACAGGCGUGUGCCACCAAGCCCAGCUCAUUUUUGUAUUUUUUGUAGAGAUAGAGUUUCACUAUGUUACCCAGGCUGGUCUCAAACUCCUGAGCUCAAAGCGAUCUGCCUGCCUCAGCCUCCCAAAGUGCUGGGACUAUAGGCAUGAGCCACCAUGCCUGGCCCAUAAUAUAGUAUUCUGACUUGACAACUUAGCUUAGUUUAUUAGGAAUGUCUUUAUUUAAUUAAUUUGGUAAAUUACUAGGAAUGUAGUAAUUUACAUUACUGCUAUGAACUCCCUUCCUGCUACAUACUCACUUCCUCAUUUCUAUUCUUUAUCCCAUUGCUAAUGGAUAGUUUCUGCUUAUUUAUGUAUUUAUUUAUUAACUAAUAGAGACAGGGUCUCGCUAUGUUGCCCAGGUUAUUAUUGAACUCCUGGCCUCAAGUGAUCUUCCUGCCUUGACCUCCCAGAGUGCUGAGAUUACAGGCAUGAGCCACCAUGGCUGGCCAGUUUUUGCUUAUUUAUAGCUUCUGACUCCUGUGCCUAUUCCUCACAAGUUGAUCUUAUUUAAAUCUUUCAUGCUUCUUACAUAGCUGUGGUAUGUUCUUUUACCAUGUAUCCAUUCACUUCAGCUGCUGAGUUUCUGUUCUUCUGUUUUUCCCAAUUGCAAAUUUAAUCUAAUUUUCUCACCUCAUCCUUGUUUGGGGAGGGCUUUCAUGUCACAAGUCAUAGGCUGUUGACCAGCUUGUAGACAUAUGCCCUUGAGUCUGAGCCUUACUUACCCUUGGUCUGAUCAACUUUGGAUUUGGAGGAAGGAUAGUUGGUCAUAAGAAUGCUUUCUUAGCAGGCUUGUUUGCCUGGCUAAGAAAGUUUUUCUUUAGAAAGAUUUUGGGUGUGGGUAGCACUAUGACACAUUCAUUCUAUCUGGUUUAGCUCUUUAAAGCUGCUUGAUUGCAGCAUCUACCAAGUCUCUUAAAGACUCACCUUCCCCUGGGUGAAAGUUCUAAAAGUUCCAUGAUAUCACAAGCUGGUUUGCACAACAUCUUCAAAACAAGGAGGAUUCUCUUCAGUUUCGUAGCCAGCUUCCUAAACUGCAUUCCUCCUAGGGGGCUGUUCUGCUUCUUACUAUUGGUUAGGCACUUGUGAUUGCUAGAAACAAAUUCUCUGUUGAGCUCACAUAAUGACAGGUUAUUUGCAGGCCACCUGUGGGGAAAUAAUGGUGACUUGGAUCACAUGCAGUUUCACAUACAGGUGAUCUUUUGUAUCUGUGUGUUUCACAUCUGUGGAUUCAGCCACCUGUGGAUCAAAAAUACUUGGCUAAAAAAUAUGGAUGGUUGUGUCUGUACUGAACAUAUACAGACUGUUUUUAGUUGUUAUUCCCUAAACAAUAGAGUAUAACCACUGUUUACAUAGCAUUUAUAUUGUAUUAGGUAUUAUAAGUAAUCUAGAGAUGAUUUAAAGUAUAUGAGAGGAUGUGCAUAGGCUGUAUGCAUUUACUAGAAUAUUUUAUAUAAAAGAUUUGAAUAUCUGUGGGGGAUUCUGGAACUAAUUCCUUUGUGGAUACCGAGGGACACCUGUUUAGGGGGACCUUAAUGUGAUUAUGCCUGUUAGGGAUGGGAACUGGAUUCAGAGAAGCUCUAGAAAACUCAGCAGCCAGAGCUUGUACAUCUUUUUAUUAGCAUUGUGCCAUUUAUUUAACUGAGCUACUUUGUCUCUCUGCGUAUCUUUUUUUUUUUCUUUGAGAUGGAGUUUUGCUCUUGUUGCCCAAGCUGGAGUGCAGUGGCACAAUCUUGGCUCACCACAACCUCUGCCUCCUAGGUUCAAGUGAUUCUCCUGCCUCAGCCUCUCAAGCAGCUGGGAUUACAGGCACCCGCCACCACGCCUGGCUAAUUUUGUAUUUUUAGCAGAGACAGGAUUUCUCCCUGCCUUGAACUCCUGACCUCAGGUGAUCCGCCUGCCUCAGCCUCCCAAAGUACUGGGAUUAUAGGUGUGAGCCACUGCACCCGGCCUCUCUGCUUAUCUUUGGUGUCUUAUAAUUUCUGCUUUUUAAAUAUUGGCUCGCCCAUCCACUUUGUUUUUUCUCCAUCUCUUUUUUUUUUUUUUUUUGAGACAGAGUCUCACUCUGUUACCCAGGCUGGAGUGCAGUGGUGAGAUCUCAGCUCACUGCAACCUCUGCCUCCUGGGUUCAAGUGAUUCUCCUACCUCAACCUCCCGAGUACCUGGGAUUACAGGUGCCAGCCACCAUGCCUGGCUAAUUUUUGUAUUUUUAGUAGAGAUGGGGUUUCACCAAAUUGGCCAGCCUGGUCUCGAACUCCUGACAUCAGGUUAUCCUCCCGCCUCGGCCUCCCAAAGUGCUGAGAUUACAAGCAUGAGCCAUUGCGCCCAGCCCUCUAUCUCAUAUUUUUAGCCUAUUUAUAGGUUCUGCUUACUUAUGGCUUCAUCUUCCUCGUAAGUUUUGCUUGCUUAUGACCCUCGUGACCUCACCUCUGCAUUGUGUUAGCUUGCUGUGUAUCCUUUCAGCUUCAGUUUCCUUUGUGAACUGUGAUUACUUUUAAUAGCUCGAUUCCAAUUCCUGAGAAGACAAAUUUACUAGGCCUGUUGUAUCCCAGUUUAGUUAUAUAUUUAUAUACCCGCAGCAGCAGUUUGUGGAUCUUCACUUUUGUUUUCUGCCAUUAAUAUGAUGAUUACCCUGUUUUGCUGCUUUUACUUUGCUUGUUUCUUAUAGCUUAGCUUAUAAUGUAUCCAUUAACAACUGACUGUUGGACUUCUCUCUCUGUUUCAAGGACUGCAGUUGCAAAUGCCUGUAGGACCCAGAUGCCAUAAAUGUAUAUAAGAUGGUUCUGGUGUUUUCUUCUUUUCUUGAAACACUGUCUUGUGUGUGUGAGGGGGGUGAUCUUUUGUUCAAUCAUUUUUGAUAGAGACAUUAGAAGAGCGAUUUCUUUAAAAUAUAAACAAGGGUGCAAAUGGGAUGGUAAAGGGCAACUGACGCUACUAGGAGGAUAGUAGGGAGUGUUUGACAUUGUGUGUAAAUGGGACAUACAUAUUUCCUCCAAAAGGGAAGACUUUAGUACUUCUGCUGAUUGUUGCCCAGUGGAAAUGUCUGCCUAAGAUUACCAGCUGUCUACAAAAAGCCUGAUUGGCGUCACGUUUUUUUUUUUUUUAAUUUAGAUAUGAUUUAACAUAUAUGAUAGGAUGUGUAUAGGUUGUGUGCAAUUACUAGAACAUUUUCUAUAAAGGUCAUGAAUAUCUGUGGUGGAUCCUGGAACCAAUGGGGUUGGGAGGGCAGUUUCAAUUGUUUUAAAAUGUUUCAGGCCAACAGAAUAUGCUUAUAAAUGCUUUUAUAACCUCACAGCUUCUGUUUCUUUAUAGUUUUGGCUUAUUUGUAAUGUUUCCUUUUUCUCAUGUGGUACAAAACAUGGGUAUGUACCAUUACCUCUUCAACUCAGCCAAUGGCUUGGCAGUUUCCGUUGUGCAGUGUUCAAAACUGGGCCACAGUUUUGAAUGCAAUUGUGGAUAUUAAAAUGAAAUAGAUUAGGAAAGAAUAGAUUAAGAUAGAAUACAGAUAAGAAAAUAAGAAAAUAUCAGCCUUCAUCUGGCAAAGAAAAUAGCAGCCUUCAUCUGGCAAAGGGCAUCAUCAGGCAUUACCAGGAGGUGCUCUGUAUCCACAGGUUCCCUAUCUGUGGGUUCCACCACCACAGAUAAAAAAUAUUUGGAAAAAAAUACAACAAUGCAAAAUAAUACAAAUUUUAAAAAAUACAAUAUAUUUAUGUGGUGUUUACAUUGUAUUCGUUAUUAUAAGUAAUCUAGAGAUGAUUUAAAGGGAUGGGAAGAUAUAUGUAGGUUAUAUGUAAAUAUACCAUUGUAUAUAAGGAACGUGUAUACCCAUGGAUUUUAGAAUCUGUAGGGAUUCCUGGAACCAGUCUUCCAUGGAUACUGAGGGAUGAAUGUAUUGUUCUGUGAAAUUUUUGUCCCAGCUACAUAUUUGUAUGUAUGUAUGUUUUUGGUCCGGUAUAAUUGUAUAAUAUUUCUUAGUAUGGGUUAAACAACUUUAUAAGACAUUGUGAGCAACCUGGUAUCCUCUGGACUAGAUCAUUCCUGUAGACAGUUCCGUUGUGCACACAUAGUAUUUCGUUAAAAUCAGGUGACUGUUUAAAAAUUAAAAAGAUUUUAGAUAAAAAUCUAGAUUUUUACUUUCUCCUGAAAUAUCAGAAGAUGGGGUCUAAAUUCACACUGAGGCCAAGCAGUGGUAGGCUCAUUUUAAAGAAGGGCUUUCUGCUCUCUGGUUUACCACAUUGUAUACUAAUUAGCCUGGUCUUACUUUUGUAUAUUACCUGAAUAGCCACUUAGGGCAUUUUGAACACAUGGCUUGCAUUGCUUUGUCUUUUUGAAAUCCGCUGUGGCAGGCCCAAACCUUGCCUUUGGUGGGCUUAAGUAAGGUCUGGUUUCCAGUACAAAGGCAAAGACAGAUGAGGAUUAUUAGUAUUCCAUUUUGCCCUAUGGAUAUUCUCAGUGCUUUCUACUGGAAACUCACAACCAAUUCUGAAUAUGCCACAUACUAUGUGAUUUGCCCUUGCUGUCCAACCCUGUUCUUGCUGCCAUGUAAAAACAAUCAGGCCAGGUGUGGUGGCUCAUGCCUGUAAUCCCAGCACUUUGGGAGGCCAAGGUGGGUGGAUCAUUUGAGCUCUGGAGUUCUAGACCAGCCAGGACCACAUAGCAAGACCCCAUCUCUACUAAAAAUUAAAAAAAAAAAAAAAAUUAACCGAGCAUGGCGGUGGUUCAUGCCUGUAAUCCUAGCACUUUGGAGGCCAAGGCGGGAGGAUCGUUAGAGCUCAGCAGUUCAAGACCAGCCUGGGCAUCAUAGCGAGACCCUGUCUCUAUUUAUAAAAAAAAAUGAAAAACAAAUGAAAACAAUCAGGCCAGGUGUGGUGGCUCCUACCUAUAAUCCCAGCACUUCAGGAGGUCAAGGUGGGUGGAUCACUUGAGCCCAAGAGUUUGAGACCAGCCUGGGCAACAUAGUAAGAACCCGCCUGUACUAAAAAUUUUAAAAAGCAUUAGCUGGGCAUGGUGACUGGUAACUGUAGUCCCAGGCUGAAGUAGGAGGAUAGCUCGAGCCUGGGAGGUGGAGGUUGCAGUGAACCAUGAUAGUGCCACUGCACUGAAGCCUGAGCAACAGAGCUGGACCCUGUCUCAAAAAAAAAAAAAAAAAAGAAUCACGUACGAGGAAGAGGUUGUGAAGCUAUACAUAUGACAAUUGGCAAUCUGGUAUUUCACAAGAAUCUAAUUAGAGAAUUUGGGUGGCCAAUCCCCUCAGCAUAGUAAGGGAGUCAAGGAAGCUUUUAAGAACUUCAUCAGUUUUCUGCCUUCCCUGAACAAGUGUCUCUUAUUUGUAACUAAAUUUGUCAGCUUAACAGUAAGCAGUAACUGGUAUUAGACUCAAUUUUUCAACUAGAUUUGUAAUUUGGCACAGUAAUGAAAUCUUAAGCCCAUGCACCUAUUCUGGGCUUCUUGUUUGUUUGUUUUGAGACGGAGUCUAGCUGCAUGCAGCUGGAAUGGAGUGGCACAAUCUUGGCUCACUGCAACCUCCGCCUCCCGGGUUCAAGCGAUUCUCUUGCCUCAGCCUCCCGAAUAGCUAGGAUUACAGGCACACACCACCAUGCCCAGCUAAUUUUUGUAUUUUUAGUAGAGAUGGGGUUUCACCAUGUUGGCCAGGCUGGUCUCCAACUCCUGACCUCAAGUGAUCCGCCUGCCUCAGCCUCCCAAAGUGCUGGGAUUACAGGCAUGAGCCACUGUGCCUUGCCACCUAUUCUGUUUUGAACUUCAUUUUCCUAACAAUAUCCUGAAUUACUGAGCUUUUGUAUCACUUCGUGUUAAAGUUUUCAUUCUUAUGUACCAAAGUACUAAUUUGAAUUUGUAAUGAGUCUGAUGGUAUAUUUCAAUUUUUUGCUUUGAGGGACUGGCUGCUACAUUGCAGAAUAUCUUAUAUCCCUGACUGCUUUCCACUAAGUGUCAGUGGUGACCCCGUUCCAAUCAUUAUGACAACUGAACAUGCUUAUGCAUCCCUCAUACUUUAUUUUUUAUUUUGGGAAACCUUUCAGCUUCAGUUUUUGCUGAUAUUUAUGUGAUUCUUUGUUCUGCAAUUCAAAUUUCUGGGAGCCAGACAGUCUCCUUGGUUCAGAUUACUGGUUUUUGACUAGAGCUUCUCACUUCAGAUUCUGUCAUAAGAUUAUGGCUUACCCUAUGAUUGUCCUUUGAUUUGGUGCCAUAUGAAAUAAAACAUUAUUUUCUAUGGCUAUGUAUUAAGAAUUUUGUGCAAUUCUGUUUUUCUUAGAAGGCUGAGGGUGUGUUGUCAGACACCAUGACUGAUGUGAUGGGUGUAUUUUAUUAUGCGGCCGCCAGGCAGACAGGCAUUUCUUAAUAUUUAUAUAUUAAAUUUAAUAUUAUUUACAUAAUUUUUUUUUUUUUUUUUGAGACAGAGUCUUGCUCUGUCGCCCAAGCUGGAGUGCAGUGGCACGAUCUCGACUUACUACAACCUCCGCCUCCCGGGUUCAAGCGAUUCUCCUGCCUCAGUCUCCCGAGUAGCUGGGAUUACAGGCACCCGACAUCAUGCCUGGCUAAUUUUUGUGUUUUUGUAGAGAUGGGAGGUUUCACCAUGUUGGCCAGGCUGGUCUUGAACUCCUGACCUCAGGUGAUCCGCCUGCCUUGGCCUCCCAAAGUGCUGGGAUUACAGGCAUGAGCCACCACGCCUGGCUAUUUACAUAUUUUUAAUCUAGAGUCCCUUAACAUAUUACAGUUUUCAUGUAUGGAAUCUCUAAUGUAUUCACCCCUGCCACUCUAGAUAGUAACACAAAUUGCUGUCUAGUUCUUGUGUCCCAGAAUGAUGGUAUGGGGUAGCCUGAAGCAUGAGCCAAAUUAAUAGAAACAGAAAGUAGUUGCCAGGGGGUGUCAGGGUUGUUGCCAGGGGCCGGGGGAGGGGGAAAAGGAUAAUUGUUUAAUGGGAAUAGAGUUUCAGUUUUGCAAGAUGAAAAAGUUCUGGAGAUUGCUUGCACAAAAAUGUGAAUACACUUAAUACUACUGAACUGUAUAUACUUAAAGUGGAUAAAAUAGUAAGAAAAAUAGAGCAACAAUAUUUCACUAAGUAGGCAGUUUACACUGAAUAUCCUUGGGGACAUCAGAAUAUCCUUGAGAAUAUUAAAAUAUAGCAUCUUCAAACAAAAGUAAGUUAAAGGACUAUCUUUGAUGCAGCCUCCCAGUUCUCUAUAUCAGGGUCCAGCAAACUGGCCCAAGAGCCAAAUCUGGCCAACCACUUGUUUUUAUACAGUCUGUGAGCAAAGAUUGUUGUUCACAUUUUUUAAUUGUUGAAAAAAAAUCAGAAUUAUAAAACUUAAUUACAUCAAAAUUACAAGAAAUUCAAGUGUCAGUAUCCGUAAAUAAAGUUUUAUUGGAACACAGUCACAUUCAUUCUUUUUUUUUUUUUUUUUUUUUUGAGACAGAGUUUUGCUCUUGUUGCCCGUGCUGGAGUGCAAUGGUGUGAUCUUGGCUCACCGCAACCUCCGCCUCCCGGGUUCAAGUGAUUCUCCUGCCUCAGCCUCCCAAGUAGCUGGGAUUACAGGCAUGCGCCACCACGCCUGGCUAAUUUUGUAUUUUUAGUAGAGACAGGGUUUCUCCAUGUUGGUCAGGCCGGUCUCGAACUCCUGACCUCAGUUGAUCCACCUGCCUCGGCCUCCCAAAGUGCUGGGAUUACAGGCGUGAGCCACCGCACCCGGCCUCAUACUCAUUCUUACGUGUGUUGUAUAUCGCUGCUUUUAUGCUACAGUAGCAGAAUGGAGUAACUGGGACAGAGACCAUAUGGCCUACAAAUCCUAAAAUAUUUGCUGCUUGGCCAUUAAUAAAACAUUUAAAGUCAGACUAUUACAAAAGUUGCCAGGUCCCUCACAGCAUCAUCUUUGAUAGCUUUAAAUGCCUAAUUGGCAGCCUUGUCAUGGACGAGUAGGGACUAUUAUCAUUCUGUUGCCUUACGUUUGGUGGGGAUUCUUAUUUCCUUACUCCCUACUGUGACACUUUAACCACUUCCAGAAAACUCAUUCUUGGUAAGCUUCAGUUGUGGCUGAAAUCCCUUUAGCAAUUUCUAUAGGCUCUUGUAUUGUUAAGAAACAGACAUCUCUUGGGCCAGCCAAGCAAUUGGGACCACCUAACCAAUUUGGACCACCCAAGGCUGGGCUUGGUCAGCCUCUAAGAUGGACAGGGAUCUCAUAAGAAUUCAAGUAAGGAAUUUGAGUAAAGGCAAUUAAAAUUUAAAGAAAAUUUUUAAUUCAGUUUCCUGAGUUUGGAAAUUAGUUCCAAGACAGAUCUGGGAAUGUCAGUGCAAGAGUUUGUGUCAUCCAUCCUAGUAUACCACCUUUAACAUUUCUUAAUUCCUCUGUGUGUUUGUUCAGUGCCUUCCUCAUUGUUGACUCAACCUUUACUUUACCUCCUAGCUUAGUCUGCAUUCUGCUUCCCCUUCAAUUUUCAGCUAUUCAUAAUUAAAUGUUGCUUGUUGCCCCAGUGUAAGAGAUAGUGCCCAAAGGGAUUUAUUUCAUGUUUUCCAACUUUCUUGCAUUUCACAGAUUCUAUUUAUUUUGCAUUUCACAGACUUUAUUCCUUAGUGUAAGAAUUUCAGUGGCUUAACUCUGCCCUGCUUGGGAGUCACUUUUUGAAUCUUGUAAUGAUAUAUAAUGGCACUAGGAAAGUGUCCCCCACAGCUGAUACUUUCUGCUUUGGACUACAAGGCAGAUCAUAUUCUAAAAAUCAUUGCUGUCUAGGACUGCUUCCCAGAACUAUGUUCUCCAGAACUAUAGGUGGAACAGUUUACCUUAGAUGGAAAUGUGAGUGUGGCCACCACUUGAUUCAGAUGUGUUCAUAUUGCAUUUCUACAUCUUGGCCACUAAGCACAUAUGCCCUUCAUCUUUAUAUACAUUUCUGAAGAUGCUUCUGUUUAUACUGUUCCAACUCUUACUGAAGCAGCAGUGUUAGAGAGAAUGUCAGCUGGAUGCUAUAGUCUGAAGUAAUGUCAUGAGACCAUUUUAGAAAUUUACCUGCUGGCCGGGCACGGUGGCUCACGCCUGUAAUCCCAGCACUUAGGGAGGCCGAGGCGGGUGGGUCACUUGAGGUCAGAAGUUCGAGACCAGCCUGGCCAACAUAGUGAAACCCCAUCUCUACAAAAAUACAAAAAAAUUAGCUGGUCAUGGUGGCGCAUGCCUAUAAUCCCAGUUACUUGGGAGGCUGAGACAGGAGAAUCACUUGAACCCAGGAGGCGGAAGUUGCAAUGAGACAAGAUCGUGCCAUUGCACUCCAGCCUGUGUGACAGAGCGAGACUUCAUCUCAAAAAAAAAAAAAAAAGAAAUUUACCUGCCAGUUUCACAAGCCCAGGAGGCAGAGGCAGGAGUAUUGCUGAGCCCAGGAGUUGAAGACUGCAAUGAGCUAUGAUCGUGUCACUGCACCCCAACUUGGGUGACAGAGCAAGACCCUGUCUCAAAAAAAAAAAAAAAAGGAAAGAGAUACUUAUAAACAAUUCAGAUAACACAUAAAGAAAUAAAUAUAGUCAAGAUAAGCUAUAAUCUUGUAACUCAACUAAAACUAUGAAACUUUUGGUGUAUAGACUUUUAUUACUUUUAUUUUUUUGAGACAGAGUCUCAGUCUGUCACCCAGGCUGGAGUGCAGUGGCAAGAUCGUGGCUCACUACAAACCCUGCCUCUCAGCUUCAAGCUAUUCUCAUGCCUCAGCCUCUUGAGUAGCUGGGAUUACAGGUUUGUGCCACCACACUCAGCUAAUUUUUGUAUUUUUUAGUAGAGAUGGGGUUUCUUCAUGUUGGCCAGGGUGGUCUCAAAUGCCUGGCCUCAAAUGAUCUGCCUGCCCCGGCCUCCCAAAGUGCUAGGAUUACAGGAAUGAGCUACCGCGCCUGGCCUUCGUAUAGACUUUUAAAUGCCAGACUUCUUUGAUAUUAUUGAGCAUAUAUUUUAUCUAAUUAUGACACCUGUUUUGAUUCUGUGCUUAAUUAAGCAAUUUUAUGAUUAUAAUUUGGCUAUAGGAAAAGAAUGUAUGCUUUAUAUGGAAACAAGUAUUCUGGUUACAUUGAUGGGUAUAUUGUAGUAAAUUAAUAAACUGGCACAUUGAAGAUUAUUCACCUUGUUAUGUCAGCUGUGAUGAAUGUCUUUAUAAUUUAUCUUUGCACAGUUGACUAAUUAUUUCCUAACCAAAUGUAAUUUUAGUCGUAGAAGGUGCAGUGAAUCCUCUCAGGACUCUGAAACAUGGUUCAUACCCAUGGAAAAGAGCCUAACAAAAAUACUGAUAGCAUGGUUCCAAAGCGGGCAUGAGGAGGAAUAUGCAUUUGGAGGUAUUAGAGAAGAUAAUAUGAUAAUAAUCAAUUACUAUAGUUUUGUUAGGAGAACCUCCCUCAUUUUUUAACUGUACCUAGAUAAUGAACUUUGUCAAUUUAUUUAUUUUUUUAAUUUCUUAAUUUUUUGAGGUAGGGUCUCUCUCUAUCACUCAGGCUGGAGUGCUGUGUCACAAUCAUGGCUCACUGUAUCCUCAACUUUCCAGUCUCAAGUAAUUCUCCCACCUCAGUCUUCUGAGUAGCCAGGACUACAGACAUGUACCACCACGCCUGGCUAAUUUUUUGGAUUUUUUUUUGUAGAGACGGGGUUUCUGCCAUGUAUCACAGGCUGGUCUCAAACUAGGCUGGUCUCAAACUCCUGGGCUAAAACAGUUCGCCCGCCUGAGCCUCCCAAAGUGCUGGGGUUAGAGGUCUGAGCCACCGCACCCAGCCAACUUUGUCAUUUUAGAGAUAGCAGCAUAUGCUUUAUCUUGGUCCUGAGGCAUGGUUGCUGGAGGUCAAGUCUAUGUAGUUAGCUAGGAUGGGCCACCGAAAGAUUCUAAACUUCUUGUAGUCAUCCAAGUAGGGUGGAUUGCAUGCACUAUUUGUAAUUGAAAAGUAUGAGUUCCUGUUUUUUUGUUGUUGUUGUUUUUGGUUUUAAGGAGCUGAGAGUUUAAUAGGCAAGAAGGAAGGGAGAAGACAAAAAGAAGAAGCUCCCCCUGUACAGAGGCAGAGGGAGGGGGGCUCCAAAGCCGAAAGAGGAGGUCCCUACCUGCCAACCAUACCAGCCAGGUAUAUAUGCAGAGGCUGGAGGAGGCGGUGUUUGAUUUGCAUAGGGCUCAGGGGAUUGGUUUGAUUAGGCAUUUCAUUCACAUGGUCCAUGAAAAAGCUGGCCCUCCCACCCUAGCCUUUUAAUAUGCAAAUGCAGGGUGCCAUGAUGGUCUACACACGUGGGGAUAUGUGGGGGCGGCCAUGUUGCCAGGAACCUGUGGGGAAAGGGCAAGAAGGCCCUGGGAAUCUCCAUGUUUGGGUGGACCGUUUCUAAUGGCCUACAUUUGCAUAUCAAUGGUUGCUGGCCUGGUUCUGAGAGCCAGGGCUUUACAAGAAACUUUUCCAGAGGUGCUUUAACAAACGAAAACUUCCCAAGGACCCCUUUUCCUACAACAUUCCCCACUGUGGAGAUGCCACACUAACUGCUGUUAGGGGGUUUGGGGCGACGACUCUUUCUGGCUACUUCCUGCUGAAAAGAGGCAUCAAAUGGGGAACAGCAGCUAAGGCUCCUUCUGGGGUCGAUCUAAGGAUCCUCGGAAGAAUGGCGUGUGGUUCAGUUUACAGCACCAUUUGAAGUUAGAUUGCUUCUAGGCGAGAAGAAACAAUUUGAGUUAUAGUAUUGAAUAUACAGGGUCCAAAUAUCAAUACAAGACAUAUAAGCAAGAGAGUGCUUAAUAAAGGGGUUAACCAAUUCCAUAAAGAAGACUGGAAUUUAUUAAAGAGGGAUUGUAGCCACUUGAGGCUGAAGCUGGCAUUUUCCCUGAGCCUGUCAAUAAUUUUGAUUUGAUUUCCUCUACUUUACUAGAGUUGUUAAUCCAAAAGUAGCAUGUUUCAUUUAAAACUACAUUACUAAACCUAAUAAAAAGUCCUAGCAGACUCAGUGAUAGUAAAACUUUCAUGCUUCCUUUUUGUCAACUAUUAUCCCUGCUAUAAGGAUAAUAAUUAAGCAAAAUACUACGGCAAUGGAAACUCUCUGUCCAAUAUUUCAGUUAGAAGGUGCUACCAUGUGUGAUGCUAUUGCAAAUAGUAGAGUGAGGACAGCAGUUCCCACAAAUGUGGUGUGGUAUAUAAUUUCCAUCUAAAAUUUUACUUGCCAAGAUAUAGCAUUCCCCUUUGGGGGUCUAUGAAGUUCCCUGGUUUUAUUUUCCCAAACAGAAACCUCCAGGUUAUGGGCACUUACUUUAAUUACCUGGCAGAAUUUGCAAGAUAAUUGCCCAGAACUAGCAUAUUGAUUCACAUUUUUACUUUACCCAUCCCUAUUCUUUUAUUCCAAGCUGCAGAAGAUCACCACUUGAUUCACAGGAAUAAGCAGGGUUAGUCUAAAACGUAGGCAAAAAGUUUAAAAACAAUUAUUGAGAGUAGGCUUUAAUGACAAAUUAUGAUAAGCUUUGGAGCAAAAUUUUUCUCUCCAGUCCUCAUUUUUGGUAAAAACUAUGAAUAAACUUUAGUCUUAUACUUGGCCUGAUUAUUUGCAUAAAGUGCAGCAAGAAUGGUUAUUUUUACAUAGGCCUUUUGGAUUGGCUUUGCUGAAACUGUGUUCCACAAGGAAUUUCAGAUAAGACUUAAAGCCAAGCCCAGCCAUGGGUUGUAUCCUCUAAUACCUGUGAGUUGGGUGAUCCUGUCCUCUUGAGGUCCCAAGAUAAACUCUGAGCUUCUAUACCUGUUAGAAAGUGACAUUCUUUACUGACCACAGGUUAGGAACCCUGUGUGGGGACUAUGCAGACAAGGUAUGAGGCCAGUUCUCCCCAAGGGGCUUUUAUUGGCUUUGCACGUCAAGCUUGAUUCCUUAAAGGGAAACACACCCUUUCAGUCAAAGCCUUGGUAAAAUAACCAGUUUUUCCAGUUGUGUCCUGUUGACAAAAAUGGAUUCGUAUUGCACUGAUGCAAACAACUAUAUUGCCAUAAGUUAAGAGUACUCACAGAUAGUUUCCAAAUUCUAGAGGAACCAGGCAGAGAAAAAUAAACAUGCUCCAAAUUUUGUUCACAGGGGUAUACCUUACUCAAUUAUUAAAGGCCAUAAAUAGCUUAAAAUAACUUUCCUUGACUCUGAAAAUCAAAACAAGGAUUAGCAAUAUUCCAAGCAGCAGUCAAAAAGGUUGCUUUAACUUUCUGAGUGUAGUCCACUUAGUUAACUUUUGUUUUGCUUGGUAUUUGUCAACAUGUCAAUUCUUUGAGUCCCCUACAUUCUUUAUUUCAAUGUUACAAUCUUUAAGGCUAUUAAAAACCUACAUUUAACAACACCUGUUAAAGUCCCUAAUAUAGCUUUAUUAUAAACUGUCUUUCGAGAAGGAACAAAGGAAGACAACAAUUGUCUGCGAAUGACAAAUUUCCAGGAUAGUUACAGUUAAAUAUAUGACUAAGAAAGAAGUUUACUUAUCUUCGUGGUUUACAAUAACUUUACCCUUAAUUAUGAUUGAUAGCAUAUACUUAGACAUUAGAAUUUUAGAAAUCCCAUACAAUUUUGGAACAUAUUAGUAUUUAUUCACCAAAAUAUAACUUAUAACAAUAUAACUUUAUAACAAUAAAGAAGAUUGGACAUCAUUUUGGCAGUCUCAUAUGACUAAAGAUGUCAAGUGAUCUUGUUUACCUCUUUUCUGAAUAUUUCAGGGGCCCUCUGAACCAUCCAGAAAGCCAGGCAGCAGUAAUGACAAUUUCCAGAUUGCCAUAAAUUAUUUUGUAAAAAUAACUCAAAAGGCAAAAGCCUUUCAUCAGCCUUUACUAUGAUAUGAAAAUUUUGUUCAAAGCAAAAUUUUUCCUUGCAUUAGUUUAUCAAUGUUAACUCCAGUUCGUUUCCAUGAACCCUUAUACAUUAUCCCGUCUAAUCCUAACCAAUUUGACCAUGAGGUGAAAUCUUUACAAACCUUUUGUAACCCUUUUACUAAAGGGCAGAUUAGUGUCUUAAGACCUCCUUGCUGUGCUUCUAUUUUAAUGCUUAAUUCAUGAAAAGACCGUAUAGAUGCUAUGGGAGAAGAUGGUGUAGUGCUUCGACCAUGCAUUUCAUUGCAAGGCAACCCAAAGCCAAUUGGCUUAUUUUGUAAUCAGCCCAUCCCUGAUGGGAGUCUCAUCUCCCAGUGGGGGAUGGGGAUGUUUCUUUAUCUUCCAGGUGGCCAAGAGCAUGCUUGUCUGUUUUGUAACUACUAUUAGCCAUCCCUUACUGUGUAUUUUCUACCUAGUUAUUACACACCAAAGCUCUCUCAUAAUGCAAAGUAAUUUCUGAUAACCCCCAAAACUCAAAACCGUCCGAUAACACAGUGCAAAACAGAAUAAAGCCUUUGAUUUUGAGAGGGAUCUAUCUCCUUUUAAUUCCCGGGGUUUCAUGAGGAAAACAGGCUUUUUCUGAAAACAGGGUUUGUGGUGCCUCCUCUGUUUUUCCCCAGGAGUCCCAUACUACCAGAAGUUAUUUUAGGGCUUUUUAUGCAUGCAUUAAGAGGGAUAAGACAAAAAACGGAGAAAAAUAAUUCAGUCAACUGAGAAGAAAAGAGCCCUUUUCCAGAAAAGCAAGAUUCAAGAAGAGAAAAAGCAUAAAGGCCUUUAAAUAUACCUAUAACUUGAAUAUUUACUUCUAAUUAAGCUGAGCACUCUUUAAGAAAAUCCUUUUAAAUCCCUUGUUACUUGACUUUAGCCACACCAAGCAGUUAAGAUUUUCGGCUUUUGAACUUUACAGAAAGUACCCUUAUAGGUGAAACCAACGAGCCUUAAUUAGGUUAUGAUUUAAUUACGAGUGUACAAGGUAUUUUUAAAGGAGUGAUAGACAGCUUUUGAAACUGUCAUUGCAAAACUGUCACUGAGACAGUGAAAGAGAUCCCACCCAAACAACUCCAUUUUGUUUCCAGGUUUCCAGCCCUCAAGCUGUCCUUGCCCAUCUCUGGGCGUAGGCUAAACCAACUUUGGGAGGAGCCUGGUUUACAGUCUAUAGUCUAAAACAAAGACGAUAACAGCGGCUUCCCAAGAUAUAUUUCCCUCUUGCCUGGGGACCAGACCAAGAAACUAACCACAUGAUUAGAAACCAUGGCCCAGGAGCUGGAGGCCACAAGAUUUUGACCCUCAGUACUUAAGAUAUUUUGUAAACCCUGCCCUUGAUGGAUCAGCUGGCACCACCCAGAUUGACAAACUGGCUUAUUUGAUUUAGCACAAAAAGACAGCCACCAUUGUAAAAUGGCAGAGACUAAAACAAAGUAUUGCCAUGCAGUUACAGAUGACAUUCCCAAAGACAUGAAACAAGAUGGAGGCCUGUAGCCGACUUUGCCACCGACUGCUUUGCUGGACUGGCUUGAACAGCAGGCUUGUGGGGUCCUAGGCCUGCAUCCUAACCUAAGAUUCCCUUUCUUUGACAGAACCAUAUAGAAAGACAUGCAAAGCACACAAGAUUGUCUACAGCUUAAGACCAGCCUUACAAAUCCUUUUUCAUUAAUUAUACAUUUACAGAGAACAUCAACAGUGAUCCUUAUUAUCCCUUUUACCGGUUUGCACAGGGAGAGAGAAGUCAAAAGCCCAACUGGUAAGAAAUGUUUACCCUUUUGCCGGCACAUCAGGCUUCUGGGUCCGCUUUCCCCUAGCUCAACUCUAUGCCAAGCAUUUUAAGAUUUGGCAAAUUAACUUUUCCUAGGUUGGAAGAACAUUAUAAAAGAGAUCAAAGCCAUUUUAAACCACAAAAGAAGGAAAAACACCUUAGAAAGGAGUUUCAAUUAGGGUUGUUAAGAAGUAAUACCUCUCUUCCUAUUGGGAAUGGUGUUUCCCCCAUUUCUUUGCCUUCCCUAUUUUUCUCUUUUCCCUUCUGGCCCACUAUAGGAGACAUAUUGCUCAUCUCCAAAAUUUUCUGCUUGCAGAGCUGCCUGUUUUAGCAGCAGUGAGGGUUUGACUUAGCAGCAACAUAACAUCCCUCCAUAUGAGGUCAAAUACAUGAGUUAAAUUUUGGAAAGCUUCUAUAUACGGUCAUCAGAAAAUCAGCCUCAGUUUCCCUUUACUUGCCUAAGGUCAUUAAAGGGGCCCAAAAUAAGAGGGACCAUCAGAUGAUUUCCUUGAAAGUUACUUUUUUAAUUUUGGGGAACUAGUUUCCCUGGGCCUUCCCGAUAUGGUUUCUAAAAGAGCUGGGUUGAUCUUGCAACAUUUGCAAAGGUCUAGUAAAAAGACCAUACCCUUGUGCAAAAGAAAAUAAGCCACUUUUUCUUCAAAGUUUCAAGGUCGAAGGAGUUCCAGUGCUUCAACAUACACUCCAUGGGAGUGCACGUUGAAGAUGAUCUGUUACCCAUCUAGAAAAAGAAGUGAGAGUAUAAAAGCGUCCUUUUAGUCUCCUUCCUUUCGGUGUGUAAUCCAGGGUGGAGAUGAAAACAAUAGAGGGCGUCCCCCCAACUAUUUUCUCUCUGUUGCUCCUGGAUUCCCGGCACCCGCUUAAAUGUGCCGCCCAUGACUGCAGGUGUGACCCUCCAAGCCAUGGCACCAGAGGAACUGAGUUCCUUAGUCAUGCUGUCCCCAAGCAAUCAGUUCUCUGCCUUUUAUUUCCCUUUGACCUUUUAGACUUGCAUGGCCUGUGUGCCUUCCAAAACACGGAUUUUAAGAAAAACCAUGUAAUUGGGCAAGGCCCCUUUAAAGGAGGGGGAGUGCUAGAUUGAACUGUGUAUUCUGCUAUUAUAGCCCAUGCUAAAGCAUUUACUCGUAGAAGAAUGGUUCUGGUUAACUUCCGGACUCAAAAAUCCCCUUACUAAUUCAGUACUGUCUUAAUAGGAGACAAAAUCAAUGCCUUAAAGGAACAUAGGAGCCAAAUGGCCGUUUUCCUGCUAGUGGGGACAAUAUCGAGACUAAAAUUGGGCUAGGGAAGACAUCUUACUCCUAACUGUUAAAAGCAAAAACUUCCCGUUCCCAAAAGAGGCCUAGAGCCUGAUUUCUACUAGGCGACUUAGAAAUACCAUGUGCUUGCCAGAGAAAACAGAGAAAGAAACAUUUAUUGAGUUACUACCUGCCGUGAUUCACGAUCUUUUCUAACAGACCUGUUUUCCCUAAACUGUAAAGAUUCCCGCACAUUAAACACACAGAGAGAGGGUAAGAGACCACCAAUAGAAAGUUUGGUGACAGGGUAGCUGGAAGAGAGCCUUGAGAUUAAAGGACAGAUUUGAAGUUGAAAUCCGCUCCAUCCUCACCAGUCUGAUGAUUGAAUUUUCCUUUUCCGGCCCAUGCACCAAAAUGGUAUGGCUCUGAUGAGUUGAGGAACACCAGGGUUCUUGUUCCUCAGGCCGGUUUAGAUAAAACAACACGGACACACGUGGAGUGGUUUUGAGUGGAGAGUUUAAUAGGCAAGAAGGAAGAGAGAAGACAGAAGGAAGAAGCUCCCCCUUACAGAGACAGAGGGGGGGGGUACCAAAGCUGAAAGAGGAGGUCCCCCAACUUCCUGUUUUUAUUAGCCUGGAACUUGAUAGUAAUGACAUUAACUGAAAGUAGGACAUAAACUAUAUAUUUUAGUUUAAUAUGUAAAAGGAUCUUCUGCAUCACUAAAGAAGAAAAGUGUCUUGCUGUGAAUGAGAUUAGGAAACAAAUUUGGGAAAUACCAUUGUUCCUUUUUUGUGGAGAAAGGUACCUUGCCCAAAAAAAAAAAAAGUCUUGCUUUGCUAGGUAAAUGCACCGUUUUGCCUAAAAACCAGUGUAACAUUUUAUUCUAAGUCAAAAGUAAUUACUGAGCUGUGGUUUUGUGUUCUGUAUGUGUAAUCUCAUUUAUUGACAGUUCUAACCUAGUAAUGAAAGUGCAACAGGAGAAUUAUAACCAGAAACAUCUAACUGUUAUAUUAUAAAUACAUUACUAUUUAACUGUAAUUGUGAAAAUGCAUUUUGAAAGUUGGAAAAAAAGAAACGUUGCCUCUAUGGUUUGGCAACUUAAUGCCGAAAAGUAGACAGUGUCUUGCGGGUCAUAGAUCAUGGGACUCAACAUAAAGUCAUACAGCUAAGACUUGUUACAGCAACAUAAUAAGCAUAUAUAGCCUUUCUAAGGUUAGCAUAAGGGAAAAAGAGAAGGUAGAGUCUGGAGGAACCAGUGUGCAGGCCUCCUUAUGCUCUCUCCCUCCCAUGAGUGAUCAUACAGAGCGCAUUCUUGUAGCAAUAAAAAUUUGGCAACACGUAUGCCAUGUUUCUGCUGGAGAAGCCCAUUAGAGACUCGGCACCCAAAGUUUCUAUUGUAGGUUGGUCCUGUAGGCACUUUCUGCUUUGCAUGUACCAGAAUUCCAGAUUCUCAGAAGGAAAGCAGGUAUUCAACAUGACCCACUUUUAUUUGCACAAACAAUCUAGUAAAAGGCCAACCUUGGCAGCAGGUCUUCCUAAGGAUACUAGUCUCAGUCUGUGCACAUAAGCUGAAUGUGUAAAAUAGUUAAAUACUGGACCCUUCUGUAACUGAUCACAUGCAAACUGCUUAAGGGCAGAAGUGGGCCAGUUUAAUAAGAGUGAGUUUAAAUACAUGAUUCCUGUUGUAUUUGGGGCAUGCUAAAAAUAUUGGCAGUCCUUUAGAUUAAGUUAAAGACAAUAACCUAAGCUUACAGGAUUUUAAACAAAAUCUUUGAUAUAUUGGCUGUUUUUGUUUGCUUCCUUUUGCUCUCAUACUAUGCAUAGAGUUACCUGAAAGAAUUGUGUUAAUUAAAAAAUUUGGAUGUCAUUCCUUCCCCACAGUUUACUUGGAAAUUGGCGUUCAAAUAUUUGGAAGGAGCCAUUCUUUUUUUUUUUUUUUUUUUUUUGAGACGGAGUCUCGCUCUGUCGCCCGGGCUGGAGUGCAGUGGCGUGAUCUCGGCUCACUGCAGGCUCCGCCUCCUGGGUUCACGCCAUUCUCCUGCCUCAGCCUCCCGAGUACCUGGUAUUACAGGCACCAUGCUCAGCUAAUUAUUUUGUAUUUUUAGUAGAGAUGGGGUUUCACCGUGUUAGCCAGGAUGGUCUCGAUCUCCUGACCUUGUGAUCCACCUGCCUCGGCCUCCCAAAGUGCUGGGAUUACAGGCGUGAGCCACCACGCCCGGCCCGGAACCAUUCUUUAAGAAAGAAGUACAAGGGAAUAUUAGAUUUUUAUUGUGUGGUUUCACAUCAGUGUAAUUAGAAUAUAGGAAGUUUGUUUAAAAUAAUAGGCCUUUUCAUUUGACGAGAUUUAAAAACACAGAUUGGCUGUGGUAUCUGGGCAUAAUUUGAUAUAGAUAAUAGUAUCUUCCUCCAUAUUGAAAAUUGAGGUAAGUUUUAUAACCUCUUUGAUGCAUUUUCCUAGUAGAGUUAAAAAUGUUGAAGUGUAGCCACCAAAAUGUUCAUGUUGGUUAUCCUUUUUUUUUCCUUAAUGAAAAUGUACUACUUUGGUGGAAAAAAGUUAAUAAUUUUGUUAGUUGGUAGGUGAAUAAUGAGUCAUAGAGACUGUUCUGACACCAAUUGUCUGACACCAACUGGGUAUCCUGCAAUUCAUUUCAAUUCUGACACUAAUUACCCAGAGUUAACACUAACUAGCAGGCACACAAAGUGUUCACCCACCAGGAAGCUCCUUGAGCUUUGAGUUUCCAGAGUUUUAUUGGCCACAUGAUUAACUUCCUUCUCCAGCUCCUCUUUACUCUCUCAAUAUCUGGGGGUGUGGCUAAAAGUUGCCACCCUCUAGUCAUAUGCUUGGUCUGUCUGGCAUGGCCAGCUCGUCCUUUGAAACUAUGAGGGCCUACCUUGAGUCACCCCUAAGUAUAAACUCAGGUAUAGUCCAAAGGGGCUCCUUAUGAAUAACAAAGACAUUUCCAUUAAUCAGGAAAUUCCAAGCCUCUCUGAAGCUCUGUACCAGGAACAGGAGACAAAGACUAGAUUUAUUCUUCAUUAUAUGACGAUACAUUUUUAUAUUUUGCCUGUGGUUUUAGUAAAGUUUUUGUUGUGAAGAACACAAAUACUAGAUCAAACGAGGGGGCUGUAAUUAGCAAGGCUGCAAGGGAUUGUGAGCAGUAAGGGAGAUAGGGAUUUUACUGGAAAUCCACCAAAGGAACUGGUAUGUAGCUAUGCCUCUCAGUAAGGGGAACUAGAAAGCUAUUAGGAAAUCGAGGCAUCUGGAGAAAAUAUGUGUGUGCGCCCGCCAACGUGUUCAUGUUUGCAUGUUCAUGUUUGCGCUGCAUUUUUGCUUUGUCAUCAUCUUGCCUCAGGUUGUUUUGCUCUCUUGUUUGACUUUCUAUGCCCUUCUCUACCCUAGGGCUUCUACUUACUCGGUUUCUGCUUUCACAGGACUCCUUAGAGCUUAAGUUCUAGUUUAUAUGUGGCUAUGCAUAUUGAAAACUUGGGUUCUUUUGUUGGAGACAGGAUUGUACAGGCUGUUGCACAGGCUGUAUUGCGGUGGUAUGAUCAUAGCUCACUGCAACCUUGAACUCCUGGGUUCAAGUGAUCCUCCUGCCUCAGCCUCCCACCACCCCCUGCUAAUUUUUUUUGUUGUUGUUGUUAGAGAAUGGGGUCUGGCUAUGUUGCCCAGGUUGGUCUUGACCUAAGGGCCUCAAGUGAUCCUCCCACCUCAGCCUCCUAAAGCACUGUGAAUACAGGCAUGAGCUUGAGUUCUUAUUAACUGUCAUCCUGACUGGCUCUUUCCUAGCUAGGCUAGUCAGCUGGGCUGAGGAGUCAAGGGAGGACAGGCUUAUUACUAUGGAAAGCACUUCCAAAACAUUAAAAUGUUUCUCUUUAAAGAGUGUUUAUCAAUGCUCAAACCUGAACCAGAAAAAGAAAAAAGAAAAAAAAAUGGAAAAGAGUGCUUAAAAUAUUAAGGAUAUUAAGCAUGUCAAUCCUUUUCUUAUUCCUAAUACCAAAAGAAGAAUUCCUAAGAUAAAAGAUUGAUAAGUGUCAUGACAUGAAAUUUAAUUGAGUUUAACGUAUUUAAGUAAAUAUUUGACUUUUGAUUUUGUAAGGUCAGCCGGGAGAAAGGACAAGAGAGCAAGACCCAAGUUCAGACAAGCUUUUAUUAAACCCGCUGGCUGCUUUAUCACAGACAAAGGAGGCAGCAGCAGCCAGCUUACAGAAUGAGGGGUUUAUAUUGGGGAGGGAGUUUGAGGGAGUUCUUUGGUAUGGCCGCAUCCCGGGGUUGUUUGCUGGUUAAUUCUGCCACAUUAUCACCUUGUGACGUUUAUGGUACCGGAGGUUGUAGGUAAAGUUUGUUUAUGCUUCCCACGACCUCCCCCUGUGCAGUCCCGAUGGUUUGUAAUUGGGGUUUGCUUUGUAGCAGUGAGGCCUGAUAGGUAGUCUGCUGGCUUCACUGCGGCGCCUAGAUAAGGGCUUAGAAAUGUAAAGAGGCUUGGGGCAGCAUGGAGGGGAGUUGCAGAGUGGGGAGGGGCGGGUAGCACCAAGAAGCUUCUUGGGGCAGUUUGUACCUAACAGAUUUAUUUUUAGAAAGGAAUUCUGAACUCUGAGACUAAAUCAGUAUAUUUGUGUAUAUUUUUUUCAUAUUCUUCCAAAGUCUUUUAUUUCUUAAUUAACCUGAUAUUUAAGUGAAAAGGGUUUACUCUUUUCUCUUUCCUAGUUAAUUACAUAUUCCAUUUGUUAAUGAAACUAUCCUUUGCUCACUGCAUUGUAAACACAUCUUUAUCUUUCUUUCUUCAAACAUAGAAGCCAUAAAAUAAGAUUCAUAAAUGCAGCUACAUAAAAAAUAUUUUUAAAUAUUUAAAUAUUAAUAUUAAUUUUUUUUAAAUAAAAUAUUUUGUGUCAAAAUGCUCUAAAUGAAGUCAAAAGAGAAACAAGAAACUGGAAAAAAUAUUUGCAACACAUAUUAAGUGCUAUCUCCAUUAAUAUAUAAAAAGCUUCUAAAAAAAUAAGGAAAAUUAAAAGACCCUAGUUAAAAAUGAGCAAUGGUCAUGAACAGAUAGUUUCCAGGAAAACCAAUGGCACUUUAAUAUAUAAAAGCAUGCUUAAGUCAUUUAUAGGAGAAAUGUGAAAAGCUACAGAAAGUUAAUAUUUGAGAACUUUGUUGGCAGGACUGUGGGAAAACUGGCACUUACAGAAUGCUGGAAUGCAAAAUAAUGUAAUACUUAUGAAGGAUACUUUGGAGAUAUUUAUCAAAGUAACAGUUGCCCUGGGGAAUCUCCCUGGGCUCUGGUGGGUGGUGGCUGUGGGGCUGCAGUUAGCGCGUCCAGGCCCUGUGGCUUGUUGGGCAUGAGGCAGCAUUCGUACACUUUCCAGGGUGGCUUUUCUUGCUCAGUUUCUGGAAAGGAAGAGGAAACGCUGCAGCUUCCACAGUACUUUUGCUUAAGACAAAGCCAGGGAUCUGGAAUUUCAAAAGAGCUGGGGAUAGGUUUGAGCUGGCCCUACCCAGCACUCCAUUUGACCUCCAAAGCAGGCUGUUUCCUGCUGCUGGCUGAGUAGAGGCGGCCUUCCUGGAGGGAAGGGAGAAAAAAAAAUUAAAGUCGCCUUUAUUUGAUCCAGUGAAUCCUCUUCUAAGAAUUAUCCUACAUAGCUGAAAAAGUGAAACAAGUUGUAUAUGUAACAUUGAAGAAUAUUUUGUAAUAGCAAAAGGUUGGAAACGAUCCAGGGGCUCAUCAAUAAAGGACUGGAUAAACUGGUAGAUUCUCACAGUGGAAUACUAGAAUGCUUUAGAAAUGAAUGAGGUGGCAGUCUAUGCAGUAGUAGAAAAUUUGAAGGAUAUAUUAAGUGAACAAAGGCAUAUAAAGAUAAUACAUAUAAUGAGUUUUCUUUUGUGGAAGAAAAUGGGUGAAACAUGUAUGUUUACUUAUAUUUUUUAAACAUAUAGCACUGAGAUAUGAAAGCAGUUACCUCUAGGUGCUAGGAGAAUGGGGCAGGUGUAUCCAGAGUGAGAACAGAAAUUUUCUAUAUACAAUGUUUGGAAGAUUCAGGUGAUUUGUUUUUCCUUUUGUGUGUGGUAAAAUAUAUAUAGCAUAAAAUUUACCAUUUUAAUCAUUUAUAAGUUGCAGUCCAGUGGCACUUCUUUUUUUUCUUUUUCUUUUUUUUUGAGACAGUCUCACUGUGUUGCCCAGGCUGGAGUGCAGUGGCGAGAUCAUGGCUCACUGCAAUCUCGACCUCCCGGGCUCAAGCAAUCCUUCCACUCCUUCCACCUCAGCCUCCUGAGUAGCACGUGCCACCACGCCUGGCUAAUUUUAUUUUUUUGAGACAGGGUGUCCUUUUGUCACCCAGGUUGGAGUGCAGUGGCACUAUCUUGGCUGGCUGCAACCUCCACCUCCUGGCCUCAAGUGAUCCUCCCACCUCAGCCUCCUGAGUAGCUGGGACUAUAGGCGCAGGCCACCAUUCUCCACUAAUUUUUUAAUUUUUUGUAGAGAUGAGAUUAUAAGUUGUUUUAAAAAAAGUAAUAUGUGCAAAUGGGAAAUAGUACAAAAUUCAAUUUGUACUAAAGUAGUUUUAGUUAAAAGUCUUCUUUCUGCUUUUAGAUUCCCAGUUCUCAAUCUUCCUUCCUCCUUAACAGAUACAAGCAACCUUCAACCUUCCAGAGAUGGUCUCUGCAUAUGAAAGACAAUGGCCUUAUUAUGAAGUUGGCAUAUUUAUAGCUUGAUAAAAACUGAAAAAUCUGUAGCCUAUUUUUAGUAGUGAUAUAUAAGGAAAUAACGUAAAUAAAAAUUUGGCAACAAGAAUCCAGGAGCAAAUUUAUGAUCAAUACACAAUUGGGCAAGUGGUGUUCAUACCAACCAUGCAAAAAUGGUUCAAUUUUAGGAAAUCUUUGAAUAUAGCUUUUAGCAGGUCAGAGGAAAUCAAGUACUUUCAUGAUUUAGUUAUUUUUAAGUUAUUGAUCAUUUUGGAUUUUACUUUGAGGUUGGUAGCCAUAUAAUGAUUUCACAUUUUAUUUUAAAUGGCUAGCUGUUGUCCCAAUACUAUUUAUUGAAAAAUCUACAUUUUGCUCACUCUUUUUUUUUUUUUUUAUUUUAAGAGACAGGGUUUUGCCAUGUUGCCCAGGCUAGAUUUGAACUCCUGGGCUCAAGUGAUUCUCUCGACCCAGCCUCCUGAGUAUCUGAGACUGCAGGCAAGUACCCCUGUGCCUGCUCACUCACUUAACGUUCUACACAUCAAAUACUAAAUUCUCAUCUAUUUGACUUCUGGACUCACUGGUUCGUGUCAUUGACUGUCUUUUCCUGUGAUAGCAUAGAAUUAUUUUGAUUGUGGAAGUACUAUAAAUGUUGCUAUUUAUUGUGCCUCUUGCUGCCUAUCUAUAUUUAGACUCAUUUAUGUGAUGCCAUUCUGUAUACUCUAAAUUUUUUGGUUCUAUUUUAAUAAUGUUUGAGUCAAUGACUUUUCAUGACUCUUGACUUUCCUACUUCAACAGUUUACUAGUCUCCGUCUUGAAUGUUUUUAUUAAUCUAUUUUGUGUUAAUUCUACCCAGGUUUUUUGUUUUUCCUUGCUGCUAUUAUAUAUAUUUCUGCUAGAUGUCACAUGGUAUAAAUGCCUAUAUGGACUUUUGUAACAGAAAAUUUACUUACUAGAAUUAAUGUAGGGGGCUUUUUAAUAAGAGUGCAUGUAACAUAGUAACAGUAGCAGAGCUAUAUCAGAAACAGUUCUGAUAAUAUUUCAUGAUCUAUAGUUUGUUGCAUGCCCAUUGCUUCAUACUGCUUGUGUUCUUGGUUGAGUCAUAAGUAAUUUUUAUGGGGUGUGUCAUGACUGUCAUAUUCAUAGAAACUUGUCUGCCUUGCCCCAUGGUCUUUGCAUGGCUUAAACAGGACCGCUUUUCAUACACAAGUCAUUCAAUUUUAUGUUUUUAAUAGCAUCAAUUUUAGUGUUUAACAUGUGACUCUGGACUAUGCAUCAGAAUACUUGACUGUUAGUGUGAAAUGAAAAUUCAUGGAUAUCAUAAUUUAUGUGACAUAAUUUAACAUUUCUUUAUUAAUAAGACUUUAGAUUGUCCCUUUCACAAAAAAAUGGUGCAGUUAAAACUUAAUCCUUGUGUCUUUUUGUGAGUAGUUCUAUGAUUUCUAUAUGAUGACAUCCUUGAAAAAGUUGGUAAAAAUAAGAAUAGUUCUUAUUUACUAAAGUUCUUCUCAAAUUGCUCUUCCAAAACAUUUUAGUUUAUACUGCAGUGUUAACCAUUUUACACUUGCUUAAGUAAUUUUCUUCAAAUACACACGAGUCCAGGCUAUUUAACCUGUAUUUUACCGCUAUAGCACAAAACAGGUUUUCCAAAAUUGUCCUUGCACACCUGGAAUUUUACAAGGAUAUUAUAAACUUGGUUCAGUUUGACUUACUGAAUUUGUAGUAAGUAUGGUUUAGCACAUAGAAAAUUCAAAAUAUGUGUUAAUCUGUUUAUAGGGUAAAUUUUUAUGAGGGUGGAUGUCAUCCUGUUUUUUUUUUUUUUUUAAUAAAUGUUUUGUUUCAGAAUAUUUUUUAUUUACAGAAAAGUACAGAGAGUUCCCAAAUGCUCCACACCCAGUUUUCCCUAUUGUUAAUAUCUUGAAUUAGUAUAGUACAUUUGUCUCCUUCUCCUUUUUGCCCUUGGUAACCUCUAAUCUACUUUCAGUCUCUGAAUUUGCCUAUUCCAAAUAUUUUGUAUAAGUGGAAUCAUACAAUAUUUGUCCUUUUGCUUCUGGCAUAUUUCACUUAGCACAAUGCCUUCAAGGUUCAUCCAUGUUAUAGCAUAUGCCAGAACUUUAUUCUUUUUUAUAGCUGAAUAAUAUUUCAUUGUGUGUAUAUGCCACAUUUUGUUUGUCAUUCAUUUUGUUUAUGUACCAUGUUUUGUUUAUAUACCACAUCUAUUAGUAUGUAUUUGUUUAGAUACACAAUUUGCUUAUAUACCACAUUUUGUUUUUCUGCUAUCUAAUGGAUUAUGCUGCUCUGGAACAUUCAUGUGAUGCUUUUGUUAAUUGCUUACACAUUUUAUUAAGCUAAUGAGCUUGGUCAUGGUAACAUAUAAAAUCAAGAAUCGUUUAACUUUUGCAAUAAAAAUCUUGACGUUGACUCUGAAGUAUUAAGAUGCAACUUCAAUGUACUGGGAUUAUGAGGCAGCCAUAGCGAUAUUACCACAGGCUUUCCAAAAAUUAACACAAAUAUUUUCUAUUCUAGAUGUGAUAUCUUUGGCAUCACUAUUCAUUCUUUUCCUCCUUGAUUAAAGUGAAACAAUUACAUUAAAAUAGUUUUAUGAUUUAAAAAUUAUUCUUUUUUUAAGCUAUUAUUUUUAAUGUAGGUCAGUAUGUUAUGUAAAUUGAUGUCCACUACCUGAACAUCUGAUGCUUUCUCUUUUAUUCCUUGGUAUUUCCUCCAUAUUCUCUGAGGGCCUUCAGUCAAUUUUUUAAAGGAAGUAAUAAGUUCAAAUAUAUAUCUAUGACUUAGGGUUACAAAGAAUAUUUUCUUUUCCUCCAGUAUACUUUGUAUUAAAAAAAUUAUAAAAGGCCAUAGGUAUUCAUUUUCAAAUAUCUGGAAAAAAAAAGGCAUGGCACAAUUAAAACAUGCAGAACUAACUUAGAUUAUUGCUAUAUUUCUUUCUUUCUAGUGUGUACGGAUAUUGAUGACAUUUUUAGGUGGCUCUUAACAAGAACAUUUUCCUCUCUUUAGAUGUGAAUGCAUAGAAAUCUUUCAUUUGGACCAGGAUCGUUUUAAAACAUUUCUUUUAUUUUUUGAUUAAAUUUUUUCCUUUUAAAUAUUAGGACUUAGUUUUUUAUUAAAUUUGAACAUAAAAUAUUUAACAUACUUACGGAUACAUUUUUGUGGGCAUAUUUCUCUGACAAUUUCUCUUAUUACAAACCAAACUUGUUAGUGACCUGAUUUUUUGUGUGUGUGUGUGUGUGUGUGCGUGCGCACGUGUUUUGCAUUUCUAUCCUUUGUUUUCUAGUUUCAUCCCUAUGCUAGGACAUGGCUGUGUUCAUUUCUCUUUCACCAGAUGAUUUUAAUGACUGUAAGGUUAUUCUAUGUUUUUAAUCUGCUUUUGCAGUACUUUUCCAUCAAAAA